UGGGGAAUCUUGCACAAUGGGGGAAACCCUGAUGCAGCCACGCCGCGUGAGCGAUGAAGGUUUUCGAAUCGUAAAGCUCUGUCCUAUGGGAAGAUAAUGACGGUACCAUGGGAGGAAGCCCCGGCUAACUACGUGCCAGCAGCCGCGGUAAUACGUAGGGGGCGAGCGUUGUCCGGAAUUACUGGGCGUAAAGGGUUCGCAGGCGGCAUGGCAAGUCCGAUGUAAAAGGCGAAGGCUCAACCUUCGUAAGCAUCGGAAACUGUCAAGCUUGAGUGAAGGAGAGGCAAGUGGAAUUCCUAGUGUAGCGGUGGAAUGCGUAGAUAUUAGGAGGAAUACCGGUGGCGAAGGCGACUUGCUGGACAUCAACUGACGCGGAGGAACGAAAGCGUGGGUAGCAAACAGG
rnacentral:rRNA from 1 species